AUCAGGUAGUCCACCUGCAGAGAAUAAUAAGCAAAAGAUUAAAACUACUAAAUCCAGUUUUGCCAGUGAUAUCUACACUAGUACUCUAAUGACAUACACAUUACACCACAUCGACUUGACACAAAUAUCACCAGCAAGAAACCAAACCAGACCUUCCAAGAACAGAGAUUAGUUCCAAAACUUUGCUAAAGAUGAUGCAAGAGAUGUGGACCAUUAGCUUUAGCAUAACGACAACUAACUACCAAACUUGCCAACAAAGCAGAAUCGCAAACAUUCGACAAGCCAACAAACUAAACUGAUCUCGUCUGAGAAAUUCAGAUCCAACUGAACACCCCUACGAUUGUCCUAAUCCUUUAUACUCUGAUCAAAUCCUACAAUCAAAAACCCUGAAUUCACGAUAGAUCAGAGAUUGAGAACGAACCGGGCGGAAACUAGAGGCGUUCGAGGAGAGACCUAGCUAAGCAACUGGGAUAAUGAUGCUCUGACUCGUUGCUACCAAUCUCUGUAAAGGAAAUGGGGCUUUUACCAAUCUCUGUAACAUCCUUACAGCUUAUUCCACCUUCCAAGAUCUUAUCAAGAUGUAGUAAUCCGCGGCAAAGCUUCCUCCUCGAUUCAGGAUCUCUCUCUAGUCCUGUUCGUUUAAUUGUCGCAAGUUUCGGUGACAGCGUCAGUGUCAGUAGUGGCGGCAGUGUUAAUGAAGAUAAUUGUUAUUUGUUUCGCAGACGCUGACGCUGCCGUAUAUUAUGUCGCGACCGCAGAUUUUAUCGGCACCAGCUGUAGGACGCGGCGUUCGGACGCGGCGUCAGACGCAGCUUUCUACAUCAACAAAACAAACAAAAAUUGACGUAGACGCUGCCGCUACCGCCGGUUCCUGCAGCGACCAAACGAACAGACCUAAACCUAAGGUACUAUCAGUAGCUAAAGAAUCACCUCGAGCGAGAUCGGUGGACGAGAGCGGUAGCCUCGACGUCUCCAUGAAGAUUCGUCGCGAGUGAAAGCUUUUCUUCGAUCGCCGGCGAUUUUCGCAGAGUGUAGGCGCCAUUAAUAUCUGGUUUGGAGUAACCGGAUAUAAGAUAAAACCAUUGGUUUAGUGAAAUUGUUUGAUUAACCAGAAAAUCUUCUCCGUACGGUAGCCUCGAUGUCUCUAUAAGUAAAAUUGAAACCGAAAAUAACCGGAUAUGAAGAUUUAAUAAUUAACCGGUAAAGCGUUUAUUGCAAAAAGCGUUUUUUUCA